UGAAAUGUUCCAACGUCCGUAGCACGAGCCCAGCGCGGACAUGCGACAGAGAUAAAAACUUGUUUAUCCUCGUACCCGACGAACAACGACAAGCGUGUAGGGUCGGCUUUAUUUUGUAGUCAAAUAUAAUUAUAUAUAUUACACCGCCGUGCGUCCCGGCUAUAAAAUCUUAGCUUGCCAUAAAUUUGACAAUUCUGUCAGAAUGCCUAGCAAUGACCUGCAUAACCUUCUGAGCCUGUAAUGUCAAUAAGAGGCAAUUCCUCCUGGCCCAUCAAUACAAAAGAGUUUAAUAACUUGGACGAGUUCUUAACUCAUCUUCCCACAACUGAAUCAUUAGACACACCUUGCAUUAUGGCCAGUCAGUUCGACUUUGAACUCCUCCAGCUCCAGAACGCAGAGAUAGAGACCACACCACCAUCGACUAACACGACGUCCAUAAACCCCCCAACGACGAAUAAUCAGUAUGAUGAAGAAAGAAGGUUAAUGCCACCCCCAAAAACAAUUCCAAGACCACUGCCAAGAAUACCACAACCGCUCCCUGGGCAAGCCAAAGUAGUCGUUCAUCGUGCAAUAUUCCAGCAGGGGGGUAAACGUUGCCCUCUUUUUACCAUCACGUCCAAGAAUAGGUCUGAAAUUAAACGACUCCUCGAUGAAUUUGUACGGACGUAUACGUCUUCAAGAACUUCACGUCGCCGUAGGGUAUAUAUCAGAGUAAGAAGAAUAAGCAGAAUACAGAAUACUUUAUACUAAUAUGACUUGGACUUCUGGUCCAACUCAAGCUCAAUAUUAAACGUGACUUUUUAUCCUUUGA